rnacentral:rRNA from 1 species
UACGGAGGGGGCCAGCGUUGUUCGGAAUCAUUGGGCGUAAAGGGCGCGUAGGCGGCCGACCAAGUCGGAGGUGAAAUCCCUCGGCUCAACUGAGGAACUGCUUCCGAUACUGUUCGGCUUGAGUCCCGGAGAGGGUAGUGGAAUUCCGAGUGUAGCGGUGAAAUGCGUAGAUAUCUGGAGGAAUACCGGUGGCGAAGGCGGCAUCCUGGACCGGCAUUGACGCUGAUGAGCGAAAGCUAGGGGAGCAAACGGG